rnacentral:rRNA from 1 species
CCUACGGGAGGCAGCAGUGGGGAAUAUUGCUCAAUGGGGGAAACCCUGAAGCAGCAACGCCGCGUGAGGGAUGAAGGUUUUCGGAUUGUAAACCCCUUUUGGUAGGGAAGAUAAUGACGGUAUCUAACGAAUAAGCACCGGCUAACUCCGUGCCAGCAGCCGCGGUAAUACGGAGGGUGCAAGCGUUACUCGGAAUCACUGGGCGUAAAGGGCGCGUAGGCGGGAUAGCAAGUCAGAUGUGAAAUCCUAUGGCUUAACCAUAGAACUGCAUUUGAAACUGUUAUUCUAGAGUAUGGGAGAGGUAGGUGGAAUUCGUGGUGUAGGGGUAAAAUCCGUAGAGAUCAAGAGGAAUACUCAUUGCGAAGGCGACCUGCUAGAACAUAACUGACGCUGAUGCGCGAAAGCGUGGGGAGCAAACAGGAUUAGAUACCCCGGUAGUC